CAGUACUUUUUCUCCUGUCAACUUGACUUGAGUGGAUGCCUCGUUUCCUUAUUAUUUUCAUUUAUUUACAAUAACUAAUAUGAAUGGAUUUAAAGAAAAGAAAGAAAAAGUUGAAGAUGAAUCUCAACUUGAAUUCAGUGACUGCAUGUGACCAUGCACCUCUCGCUCGCCUUCACGGACAGGGGACUGCAUACCACUUCGAGUUUCAGUUAUCCAACGAACGGCGAAAAGGUCACCUAACAACUACUCGGUUUUAGGUGCAGCACAGCACAGGGGAUGCAUACGCCUGAAAACGAAACGCUUGACAUGCAAGUAUUUGGUCGCAUUCGCAACAGCCUCUCGCCCUUCUGCUCCUGUUCGGCUGCUGCUGCUUCUUCUUAAAAUUAUACAAACAUACUAAAUCUAGGUUAUUCUUGAAGAACUUUUAUUAAUAAAUUAAAUCGUGAUAAAAAAAGUGAUAUUUUGUAUAAAUUUUUGAAUAAGAUAAGUGGUUAAAUUUGAUGUCAAAAAAGUCAAACAUUUUAUAAUUUGGAAUGGAUUGGUACAUGAGUCUUAUCCUAGUCAGCCUCAACUUCAUGCAUGCUUAAGUAGUUAAGUUACUACCACUAGGCUCUAUUUGGUAUAGUUUCACUAACAAUUUCACAAGUUGCUUUGGGCCGCCGUCACGCCGAGCCAGGGCACAGUCACUGGCGCACCGCUGGCUCUAGGCAUGAGCUCCCUUUGCGGUCGACGCGUGAGCUAUUGUGUCUGAGGCACGAUGGGCUGCUAGGGCUUGAGCGGCGUGGCUAAAAGGCUGAAGGGAGGAGCAGAUCUUGUGGUUGGGGAGGGAGACAGGUGGCAUGCAGGGGAGGCGUGCAUCCUAGAUGAAAUCGGUGUGCUUGAGGUCCCGGUGGCCACCUUGUGGCCUUAGCGGUGCAGCCGUCAGGGCGAGCGGAGAUCGCAUUAGGAAAGCAGCAAGGAAGAAAGAGAAGGUCUGUGUGGAGAUUAGGGAAAAAAUAAAAGAAAAGAAAGAAAAGGGCUGCACAAUCAUUUAUUUGUUUGGUGUCUCAUGUGAAAGGGGGUAACGAAAACGGUCUAGCCUCACUAAAAGAGCUACUCAUGAAGCUAAAAAAUAAUAAAAAAAUAGUUUAAAGUGUGCCAAACGGAGCUUAUGUAUGGGUGCGUUUGGUUCACGUUUUCGACUUGGCCUGGCUAGCUAACUAGCCAGGGUACCUCAAGCCUGGCUCUUCCAAUGCAAGAGCCGAUUGUUUGGUUCACUUGUCUUAGCUAAGCCUGGUUUGCUUUGAUCAUGUUUGGUUACCUGAAUGCAGUCACCUCUUUCUUGUUUUGGUAGCUUUACCUCUUUGAGGCAUUACGUCG
rnacentral:lncRNA from 1 species